rnacentral:tRNA from 1 species
AAGCAGUUAGUUUAAAAAAACACUUGAUUUCGACUCAAUAGAUUGUAGUUAGACCCUGCAACUGCUUG